AUCCAACUUCCUGCCUGAGCUUCGGUCUCUUUUGGUUCCGUGUCUCUCUUCUUUCCGACUCAUCGGUUCACUCGAACGCCUCCCUUCACUGCAGGAUGGGACAGCUGACCACCCUCCUCCUGCUCCUGCUCCUGCUCCUGCUCGCCCUGUGCUGGGGUCGGAGGUCAAACCCGGAUGGCGAGAGGCCCUCCUGUGACCGCUGUGACCGGCGGCUCGCCUGUAACUGCUCCCACGGCGGGUUAACCCGCGUUCCCUCGGUAACAGGCCGCGCCCUGACUCUUGAUCUCUCCUUCAACGACAUCAGCGAGGUGGGGGGCGACGACCUGACGCGACACGCCCGGCUGGGGUCUCUGAGUCUCCACGGGAACAAACUAGCUGUGAUCCACCCGUCGGCGUUUGACCCUCUGUGGAGCCUGGAGGAGCUCGAUCUGUCUGACAACCAGCUGACUGCCCUCAACCACAGGUGGUUCAGCGAGCUCGGAGCACUGCAGGAGCUCAACCUGCUCCACAACCCGUACAGCUGCCUGGGUUCUCGUCCAGUGUUUCAGAGGCUGGUCAGGCUGAGGAGGCUGGGGGUCGGAGGUCCUGCUCUGGAGGAGCUAAAGAGAAGAGACCUGUCCGGAGUCACUCAGCUGGAGGAGCUCACUGUGCACGCCAACAACCUGAGGAGGUAUGAAACCGGUACUCUAGCGGACAUUUGGCCACUGGGUCGCGUCACUCUGAGCCUCCACGGACCCUUUGUAACCAACGUAUCCUUAGCCUCGGCUGUGCUCGGGGACGUGUCCUACCCCGAGACACAGCUCAUCCUGGAAGACCUCCAUCUGGUGAGGAAUCAGUCUGCCCCGGCCUUCAGAGAGACAGCCAGGAAGAGAGUCAGGAAAAUGACCUUCUGCAACAUUUCUGUGUCCGAUGAGGCCUUAACUGAUUUCCUGGUGGCGAUGGACGGAGUUCCGCUCACCUCCUUGUUCAUGGAAGGCAUCACACUGACAGGCGAGGGCAGGUGGGAGCGAGCCAGACGGACGGACUAUAGAAGCUUUGACGAGGUCUUUUUCCGAAACGUCGUGGUGCUUAAUGUCUUUCACUUUGCGUCCUUUCUGAACCUGUCGUUUCUGCUAAAGUACCCCAGAAAGGUGUCCAUCAUAAACUCUCAGGUAUUUGUGAUGCCCUGCGUCACGUCCCGCCUGCUCGUGAGCCUGCAGUACCUGGACCUGUCCGACAACCUGCUGACUGACAUGACUCUGGUGGAGACACUGUGCGACGGAGACGGCACUCUGAAGGGCCUCCGAGUUUUAAACCUCAGCGGAAACGCUCUGAAGUCUUUGUCAACGAUGAGCCGGCAGGUAGCAAAGCUCUCCAAGCUAACCCACCUGGACAUCAGCAGGAACGGAUACAGCUCCAUGCCCCAGGGCUGCUCCUGGCCCUCCACCUUGCGAUACCUCAACAUCUCCAGGGCCAAGCUGACUAACAUCACCUCUUGUCUACCUGCCACUCUGGAGGUGUUGGAUCUCAGCAACAAUGAUCUCCAGGGCUUCCUCCUGACCCUGCCUGCCCUAAGAGAGCUCCACCUCUCUGGGAACAGGUUACUGAGGCUGCCCCCUGGACGGCUGUUCCCCAACCUGAAAACACUGAAAAUACAGUCAAACACCCUGAACAUGUUCGACCGUUCGGACCUCCACUCGUUCAGCCGGCUCCAGGACCUCCAGGCGGGUCAGAACAAAUUUGUCUGCUCCUGCGACUUUGUCUACUUCCUCCAGUCGGCCGUUAAAGGAGGUGAAGGUGUGCAUUUGACAGACGGCGAGGAGAGCUACGUCUGCGACUCCCCUUUCUACCUGCAGGGGGAACCGGCCGAUCGGGUCCAACUCUCCUUUGUCGUGUGCCAGCGUGUUUUGUUUGUGUCCGUGAGCUGUGGAGUGGCGCUGUUUGUAGGACUUCUGGUGUGUGUCCUGCUGUGGCGCCUCCAUGCGUUCUGGUACCUCAAGAUGACGUGGGCGUGGCUACGGGCCAAGCGUGGCUCCCGGAGACAGCGGCGCCGACGCAGAGACGGACCGGAAUCGGAGGCGUUGCUUUCCUACGACGCCUUUGUGUCCUACAGCGAGAGAGACGCGAGCUGGGUGGAAAACUUCUUAGUCGCUGAGCUGGAGGAGCCACGGGAGAACGAUGAAGGCUCUGUGAACCACAGAGCCCCCCGACCUCUGACCCUCUGCCUCCACAAGCGGGACUUCCUUCCCGGACACUGGAUUGUGGACAACAUCAUGUGCGCCAUGGAGCGCAGCCGGCACACCGUCUUCAUCCUCUCCGAGAACUUCGUCCAGUCCGACUGGUGCCGCUACGAGCUGGACUUCUCCCACUUCCAGCUGUUCGAUGGCAGUGCUGGCGGAGACGCCGCCAUCUUGGUCCUGUUGGAGCCGCUGUCCAAAGACGACAUCCCCAAGCGCUUCUGCAAACUGCGCAAACUCAUGAGCUCCAACACCUACCUGGAGUGGCCUCAGGAGGAGGAGAGGAGGGGGGAGUUCUGGAGGAAACUCCGCCACGCUUUGAGAGGAGAGGAAGAGGAGGAUGACUGAGAGAGAAGGAACCAUCGAUUCGGCUCUAUCGGACCUCUCUAACCCGGGGAAACUCGCCUAGAGGUAGCUGCCCACAAAUCAGAGAAAUGUCAACUAGUAAUAUGAUCCACUGGACAGCGUUCUCACAAAGUCUUUAAAUAUGGUAAGCAGAGGCUGGGCGGACUCUAUCACACUCUCUGUUUGUUUUGGAAACCCAAAGACAAAUCCUGAGGUGUGCAAACCAAACACUCUACAACCGGCAUCAAACACUGGAGAGCCAGAAGAUCCGCGGUACAUGAAAGUGUGGUAGGUCACCACUUCGUCUGCUUUGUUUCCACCCAUCAUUAUGUCAUCAAUGCCUUGCUCUCCGAUAAGGUGAGCGAUUGAGUAGAGAAUGAAAGGAGCGUCUCUGUAUGGAUGCAGAUGACCCUGGACAGCCUGCUCUCGCUGCUCUUUCUCAAUGAUACAUGUUGGAUCCAUUUUUUUCAGGCCUCCUGCCGGGUGACCAAUAAUACAGGCUUCCCCAUUGGGUGGCAUUGGGCCAAAUUUAUCCAGGAGCCCUGGCGGCACCUUAGCUGGUGUUGCUUUGGACAUUUGGUCCUCAGGUUUGAUCUCAAGUAUGGCAUAGUCCAGCUCACCCUGACUGUAGUUAAUCAACGUUCUUUUAACUAGAUAGGAGUUGUAGUUUGUGUGCGGCUCAGGAACGUCAUAGUUAAAGAAAGCAUACACCUCUAUAUCCUGCUUCAGCUUUCUUCCUUCGACACAAUCUUUCAAAAUGUGUGCGUUAGUCAGGAUGAAGUUGUCAAACAGCACAAAACCUGUUCCCUGUGAACCAUUCACAACAACCACUUUGCAAACUGAUUUCCCGAAUUCAAUCAGCUCCCUGACUCUGUGCACUUCACUGAAGGAUUGCUGGAUCUUCCCAAAGUCUUCCUUCCUCAGGUCCAAUGCUCUCUGAUAAGAAUCACCAGGAAAUCUCUUCUCCAUCAGUUCUUUCAGACUUGGGAACUGAUCGCGCAGUUUUUUAUAAAUCUCCUCAUUGUUGACACUGUUUUCCAAAACAGUUGUGACGCUGGUUCCUCUCUGCUCUACGGCUAUCAAAGCUGUUGUGUUCUGCUGUAUAUUAGUGUCACGCUUACGCCUCUGGUGUGAAUGUGAUGCACCCGGGCUUUUGCCCAGCUUGUCUUUUAGAAGACAUAUCUUGAACUUGUUCCCAUGUAGCUGGUCAACUCUCUGAGUGCAUUCAGUGAAACAGUUUGGAUUCUUAUUGUGAGACAGAGUGAAGUUGCCGAGAGCAUCAAUGAAGCGACCGUCUCUCUGCAGAGCCUCUUCCACAGUCCACCCCUUGACCCCAUAGACACACAGGUACCUGAACUUUUUGAGAGCCUUGUUUAAGAAAGUAGUCUUUGUUUUGGUGUAUUGUCCUCCACCUGUGUCAAUGUAGAAGACAGAAUACUGGCCCCUUGAAUGCACCGUAUUGUAAUGUUGGUCUUGGGCCGCUUCAACCUUUUCUGGUUGAUGUGUUAUGAAGAGAGAUUCACCUUCAUUGAUACAAGAACGAGGGAAAUGUGUUGCAACAGUAACUUCCUUAUCCUCUUCACCCAACUGAAUCACAAUGUUUUCAUCUUUAUACUCGAGCUCCUCAUAUCUUUUACUUGAUUUAAUCGCCUCCAGCACUGUGCCAGGUUGAUUCCAUUCAAUAGUGUAUUUAUGGGGGUCUUCAGGGCUGAAUUUCACAGUGAAAUGAUGUGAAUGUCCGUCCUGCAGGAAACCAGAGAGAAAAUAAAAGUUACAUCUCCUUAUUGAUGAGAUACAAAUGCAGACUUUUUUUCACUUUUUAUAUUUUAUUUAUGUUAGAGGUCACUUUGAAUGAAAUCUAUGAAUUUGUAAUGUUCCAAAUUCAUUUUGGGUGGUUAAGGGGUGAAAAAUGUAGUCGUGAGCCCUAAAGGGCUUUGUCUCAAUGGGGUCUUUGUGAAAUAAUGCACACUAAGAAAUCAGUUGGACACGCUGUGGCUGUUUGCAUAGAAAUGACAGCGACUAUAUAUAUCUUAGGACCAAACAUACAGAUUCAGUCAAAGAUUAUACAUCUUUGUUAAGUAUUGAUGACUUUGAUCAUUGUAGCUGAGAUUUUACUUACAAUUAUCCUGCAAUAGGACCUGAUGUUUCUUGCUUUUUGGAAGUUACCUCCAACUAAAACAAAUACAAUAAUACAGUUAGUGGAUGUCAUUAAGAGCAAUCAACUGGAACUAGCUAACUAACAUCCGACACCUAAACAUAUUAAUUUAGUAAACACACUGACAUAUAUAUAUACAUGUUCAUGAGAAAUACCAUAAUAAUAAGAAUGCGCUUUAAAGAAAGAAUCUGGAAGUAUUACCUUGACUUUGCUCUGAAUGGUGGAACGCUGUGCUGAACAUAGAUAUGAAAUGACGGAUUCUACGCUGUAUAGAAGUCUAUGCUUCAUGUGUUAAAGCUGCAUU